CGCGGUUGUUCCGUGGUUGUGGGUACUGAGAAUUUGAAAGGUUUCAAGAUGAAAAUUUGGAAAUUUAGAAACUGAUGAACCGAGGAUUGUAAAUAUUUGAAAGUUUGAAAAUUCGGAAAUUUGUAAAGUUUGAAACUUGAGAAUCGAAGGUACGCAUUCAGUGAAUGGAUUUCCAGUGUACCCGGUAUUGCAAAUACAAACUGGAUUGUGUUUCACGACAUUGCAGACAUCCUUCGUUAAUAACACACUCCGGUCGACAAUUCGGUGCUCUGCCUACGUAAUUCGGUAGACAGGAACAUGCUGGGAAUCCAUCAAUCACGCGACACUGAGAAUUCGGACCGCAAGGCGAUGGAAUGCAUGGAUUUC